GCAAAAAACUAGGGGUGCUUGGAUUUCUCUUAUAUCCUCGCUGAGAUUAUACCCUUCGAACGUGAUUUUCUGCAUAAUAGCAGCGCACGGAAGUUAGCCCAUUGUCAA
rnacentral:ncRNA from 1 species